rnacentral:rRNA from 1 species
CCUACGGGGGGCAGCAGUGGGGAAUUUUGGACAAUGGGGGCAACCCUGAUCCAGCCAUGCCGCGUGCGGGAAGAAGGCCUUCGGGUUGUAAACCGCUUUUGUUCGGGAAGAAAUCGACCUCGCUAAUACCGGGGUUGGAUGACGGUACCGGAAGAAUAAGCACCGGCUAACUACGUGCCAGCAGCCGCGGUAAUACGUAGGGUGCGUGCGUUAAUCGGAAUUUGCGGGGGCAAAGCGUGCGCAGAGAGUUGAAAGCCCCGGGCUUAACCUGGGAACUGCAUUUGAAACUACGAGGCUAGAGUGUGUCAGAGGGGGGUAGAAUUCCACGUGUAGCAGUGAAAUGCGUAGAGAUGUGGAGGAAUACCGAUGGCGAAGGCAGCCCCCUGGGAUAACACUGACGCUCAUGCACGAAAGCGUGGGGAGCAAACAGGAUUAGAUACCCCGGUAGUC